AACGAACGCUGGCGGCAGGCCUAACACAUGCAAGUCGAGCGAGGACUUCGGUCCUAGCGGCGGACGGGUGAGUAACGCGUGGGAACGUGCCCUUUGCUACGGAAUAGCCCCGGGAAACUGGGAGUAAUACCGUAUGUGCCCUUUGGGGGAAAGAUUUAUCGGCAAAGGAUCGGCCCGCGUUGGAUUAGGUAGUUGGUGGGGUAAUGGCCUACCAAGCCGACGAUCCAUAGCUGGUUUGAGAGGAUGAUCAGCCACACUGGGACUGAGACACGGCCCAGACUCCUACGGGAGGCAGCAGUGGGGAAUCUUAGACAAUGGGGGAAACCCUGAUCUAGCCAUGCCGCGUGAGCGAUGAAGGCCUUAGGGUUGUAAAGCUCUUUCAGUGGGGAAGAUAAUGACGGUACCCACAGAAGAAGCCCCGGCUAACUCCGUGCCAGCAGCCGCGGUAAUAC
rnacentral:rRNA from 1 species